CAGACGUGCGUGAUGCAGUUCAGCUCUGGUUCGCCAGAGUGUAUUCUGUGUCUUUGCAGGCCAACAUCGGUUUCACGAGGCGGAUAAAGGCUUGAGAAAUGUGGCAGCUUCGGUUGUGUUAUAGUCUCUUGGUUGUAUACCGUGGUUGGGACUGAGGAUCUCAGGCCGCAAGGCUGUAGGAUGCUGGCAUAAUGGCUUUAAUCGACCCGUCUUGAAACACGGACCAAGGAGUCUAACAUGUAUGCGAGUGUU
rnacentral:rRNA from 1 species